rnacentral:rRNA from 1 species
GGGUUGUGAGGUUAAGCGACUAAGCGUACACGGUGGAUGCCCUGGCAGUCAGAGGCGAUGAAGGACGUGCUAAUCUGCGAUAAGCGCCGGUAAGGUGAUAUGAACCGUUAUAACCGGCGAUUUCCGAAUGGGGAAACCCAGUGUGAUUCGUCACACUAUCAUUAACUGAAUCCAUAGGUUAAUGAGGCGAACCGGGGGAACUGAAACAUCUAAGUACCCCGAGGAAAAGAAAUCAACCGAGAUUCCCCCAGUAGCGGCGAGCGAACGGGGAGGAGCCCAGAGCCUGAAUCAGCAUGUGUGUUAGUGGAAGCGUCUGGAAAGGCGCGCGAUACAGGGUGACAGCCCCGUACACAAAAGCGCAUGUGCUGUGAGCUCGAUGAGUAGGGCGGGACACGUGGUAUCCUGUCUGAAUAUGGGGGGACCAUCCUCCAAGGCUAAAUACUCCUGACUGACCGAUAGUGAACCAGUACCGUGAGGGAAAGGCGAAAAGAACCCCGGCGAGGGGAGUGAAAAAGAACCUGAAACCGUGUACGUACAAGCAGUGGGAGCACAGGUUUACCUGUGUGACUGCGUACCUUUUGUAUAAUGGGUCAGCGACUUAUAUUCUGUAGCAAGGUUAACCGAAUAGGGGAGCCGGAGGGAAACCGAGUCUUAAUUGGGCGUUAAGUUGCAGGGUAUAGACCCGAAACCCGGUGAUCUAGCCAUGGGCAGGUUGAAGGUUGGGUAACACUAACUGGAGGACCGAACCGACUAAUGUUGAAAAAUUAGCGGAUGACCUGUGGCUGGGGGUGAAAGGCCAAUCAAACCGGGAGAUAGCUGGUUCUCCCCGAAAGCUAUUUAGGUAGCGCCUCGUGAAUUCAUCUCCGGGGGUAGAGCACUGUUUCGGCUAGGGGGCCAUCCCGGCUUACCAACCCGAUGCAAACUGCGAAUACCGGAGAAUGUUAUCACGGGAGACACACGGCGGGUGCUAACGUCCGUCGUGAAGAGGGAAACAACCCAGACCGCCAGCUAAGGUCCCAAAGUCAUAGUUAAGUGGGAAACGAUGUGGGAAGGCCCAGACAGCCAGGAUGUUGGCUUAGAAGCAGCCAUCAUUUAAAGAAAGCGUAAUAGCUCACUGGUCGAGUCGGCCUGCGCGGAAGAUGUAACGGGGCUAAACCAUGCACCGAAGCUGCGGCAGCGACGCUGAUG